CAGUAGCCGCGGUAAUACGAAGGGGGCUAGCGUUGUUCGGAUUUACUGGGCGUAAAGCGUGCGCAGGCGGUUGUGUAAGACAGGUGUGAAAUCCCCGGGCUUAACCUGGGAACUGCGCUUGUGACUGCACAGCUAGAGUAUGGCAGAGGGGGGUGGAAUUCCACGUGUAGCAGUGAAAUGCGUAGAGAUGUGGAGGAACACCGAUGGCGAAGGCAGCCCCCUGGGCCAAUACUGACGCUCAUGCACGAAAGCGUGGGGAGCAAACAGGAUUAGAUACCCCAGUAGUCCCUGUCUCUUAUCC
rnacentral:rRNA from 1 species